UGUGGCUCAGUGGUAAAGCAGUUGUCUAGCACGCAAGAGGCCCUGGGUUCCAUCCCCAGCA
rnacentral:tRNA from 1 species